rnacentral:tRNA from 1 species
UCCCUGAUAUUCAAGUGGUAAAGAAUCUGCCUGAAAUUCAGGAGACUCUGGUUCUAUUCCUGGGUAGGGAA